UGGGGCUACAGCAAAAGGAUGCCACAUUGAUUCAUUUAACCACAGAAUCCUCCUGCUGAUAACUGCAUAGAUCAUCCAUAUAUGUGCAAGAGCUUUCAGAUACACCGACUGUAUUUUAGUCUGACAUACCAACAUGGUAUAGCAGCCUUUUCAACACUGUGAGUCCUGUUUCAUUGCCCAGGCAGCAACAAACACGUGAAUCUACAGAUGUGCUGAGGUCCUCCACAGUGGUACAGCCUACAGCAGGAGGAUGUUUACCAUAUGCAUGUUGAGAUAUCAGGUGUGAAUAGUUUAGCUGGACCUACUAAAGAGGACACUUCAGCAAUUUACAGCACCAUUCAGAGCCUUCCUCCAGCAAGGGAUGACUACUCUCCUUACUCCCUCAUACUGCCUCACUGAAGAGUGGAAAUACACCCUAUAGACUUAUAUUACAUGAUUGAGAAACCAUUUUAAGAUAGAAAAUAAAAGCAGAUUCACAUUCUGCAUGAUCUGCAUGUGUUUUAUUUACU